CUUUUUAUUUUUUUGUUCGUAGGUAAAUUCUCUCCACGAUUUUCACCCUUGCACAGCCGUUCUCUCUCACGAUUUGUAGUUCUCUCCCUCUCAAAUGCUUGCACAGACAUUUGUCGAUCGUCGGGGUUUUUCGCCGUUUGACAUUGCUGUGAUAGACCAUCGCCGCUUCAUUCUGGCUUUGUAGGUUCAGCUUCCACUCGAAGACGCAGAGAAUGAUGCGAGACAUUACAAUGACGAUCAGUUUGAUUUCGGCAGAUUUGGUUACACCAAGGACAAGAGCAAUUGCUUUUUGCUUAGUAAAUGAACAAGUUGAUGGUGUGAAAGAGUAUGCAAUGAAGAUGGAAAGUGUUAGCAUUUUGUGGAAGAGACAGACUUUAUCACUGAUUCAUUGGUCUAUGAGAGAUCUCUGUCAAGUUCUGGUGCUAGCCCAAAUGCAGCUGUUACUACUCAGUUUGUGAGAGCUGAAAUGCUUCCAAGUGGCUAUUUCAUUCGGCCAUGCAAGGGUGGAGGGUCAAUUAUCCAUAAAGUUGAUAUGUUAGUUUGGAUCAGCUGCCAAGCAAGUUGAUAUGUUAAAUCAUUAAAGAAGGUGAAAGGCUUCAAGUUGUGUGUCAUGUUGGACUUCAAAGAGGAUAUAGCUUUUGAGAAGAAGAGCUUACUAAAUUCAAUUUGACUUGAAUAUGCCCUGUGCUGCACUACGGUUACAUAUUUUCAUCUUUAUUUUAAAUGGAACUCAAUUAUUGUUUGA